GAAUCCAUGACUCAAUGAUCUAUGGCAAGAGAAUGGAUCUUCCAAUACAAACCCCUUGUUGACCUUAGCUCUCCAUUGAUGGGAUAUGGAGUUUUUCACUUAAUGUCAAGUUAGGUUGCAUUGGGGACCAUAACCCAUGAUGUAGAAGUAAUUUCUUGUUCAACCCUUCACUAAACUAGAAAUCACAUAAGGCAUCCACAUAUAAUAUUUCAUAACAUUUUAUGCCCAAACUUAUUAAUGGUCAUAUCACAUUUAUUCCUUAACAUAUGUGACCCAACCAAAAUGAUCUUACAAUCUCCCACUGGGUCAUAUAUGUGCCUUAGAAUGUGAUAAACUUUAUGAGCGCUCUUUAUGCCAUUAAUUCUGGGAGCAUAAGCAAUCUUGUCCAUUGAUUAUAUCAACAUAGGAUCAUGGUGGCUUUCGUUACAUUACUUUCGUAACUAAACUUUCCAUGGUCACAAUAUCAAUACAGCCAAAUGACAUAGAUCAAUUAUGAAACAUGUGGCAUGAAAAUCACAUGAAGUGUGGUCUGUAUAUGUCGAUUUUCAACUGGUCCUACUUUAGUGAGAUCAACUUAACCCUUAUGGUACAAAGUGUAUAUGCCGAAGACUUUAAACUUUAUUUCUGAUCAGAAAGUGUGUAUAAUACAACCAAAACAUGGAACAAAAAAAACAAAUUACAAACUCCCACUAAACCGAAUGAUCCCCAAACACCAAAAUACCCAUAUGAGCAGUAUGCUCAUGAAAGACCUUAGGUACAAUUCCUUUUGUAAGAGGAUCCGCAAUCAUAGAGUUUGUCCCUAAGUGUUCUAUGGUAAACUUUCCACUUUGUACCCAUUCCUUAACAACUCGGUACUUGAUGUCUACAAACUUAGACUUUACCGAACUUCUAUUGUUGUUGGAAUACAUAACGGCCGCCUUAUUGUCACAAUACAACUUGAGGGGUCUUUCUAUUCCUUCAAGAAUCCUUAAACAUGUGACAAAAUUCCUUAGCCAAAUUCCCUGAAGUGAUGCCUCGUAGACUGCUACUAAUUCUGCUGCCAUUGUGGAUGAUGUUACGAGUGAUUGCUUAGCACUACGCCAAGAGAUCGCUCCACCGGCUAACAGAAAAACAUAACCUAAUGUAGACUUUCUACUGUCUUGGCAUCCCGCAAAAUCAGAGUCAGAAUACCCAAUGAUCUCCAUAUUAUCCGAUCUCUGGUACGUGAGCAUACGGUCUUUUGUUCUCUGCAAGUACCUCAUGACCCUUUUGGUUGCUUUCCAAUGGUCCAUGCCCGGAUUACUUAAGUAUCUGCCCAACACUCCAACUAUGUACGCUAUAUCUGGACGCGUACAAACUUGAGCAUACAUAAGACUCCCUACUGCUGAUGCAUAAGGGAUCUUUUGCAUCUCCUCAAUUUCCAGUUUUCCUUUAGGGCAUUGUUCGAGACAAAACUUGUCUCCCUUAGCGAUUGGGGUAUCUCCUGGUUUGCAAUCAUGCAUGCCAAAUCUUUUAAGAACUUUAUCAAUAUAGCUCUUUUGUGACAAUCCAAGAAUUCCUCGAGGGCGAUCUCGAUGAAUCUCGAUCCCUAAUACAAAAGAUGCCUCACCAAGAUCUUUCAUCUCAAAAUUUUCCUUAAGAAAUCUCUUGGUUUGAACCAGCAUGCUAAUAUCGUUAGUGGCCAGAAGUAUGUCAUCGACAUAUAAAACCAGGAAAAUAUAUUUACUCCCACUGAACUUUUGAUACACACAAUCAUCAACCAAAUUCACCUCAAAACCAAAGGAGGUGAUAAUCAUAUGAAAUUUAUGGUACCAUUGACGGGAAGCUUGUUUUAGCCCAUAGAUGGAUUUCUUUAAUUUGCAAACCAUAUCUUUUGCAUCACCUAAGGUAAAAUGUUCUGGUUGCACCAUAUAAAUCGUCUCUUCAAUGUCUCCAUUGAGAAACGCUGUCUUAACAUCCAUCUGAUGAAGCUCUAAAUCAUAAUGUGCAACAAGAGCCAUGAUUGUCCUAAAAGAAUCCUUUGAAGAUACCGGAGAGAAGGUUUCUUUAUAGUCAAUCCCCUCUUUCUGAGUAUAACCUUUAGCCACUAGACGAGCCUUAUAUCGCGAAACAUUACCAUUCGAAUCCCUCUUGGUUUUAAAUAUCCAUUUGCAACCAAUGGGUUUCUUUCCUUCUGGUAAUUUAACGAUUUCCCAAACCUCAUUGUCUAACAUAGACUUAUACUCUUCAUUUGCUGCCUCAGUCCACUUAUCCGACAUGGAACAACUCAUUGCCUGAAGGAAGGUGAUGGGAUCAUCUUCCGAAAGAGUUUGAUUUUCCUCAUGUUCCAUUAAAAAUACUAUGUAAUCAUCUGGGAUAGCAUUUUUCCUUAUUCGAGUGGAUCGCCUAAGAGCAAUUUGAUCUUGUUGCACUAGUUCUUGAGGAUUUUGAGUUUGACCUUCAUGUACGAUAUCAUCGACAACCUGAGUUGGAGGAAGGACUUCAUUAUCAACUUGAGGAUCCAAAUUUACUUCAUCAGAAGUAACUAUACGAAUCGGUAUAGGUAUUGGAGCCGAUUCUUCCUCAAAGAUGAUAUCCUUAACCUUAUUUCUCCCCCCAAAAUCAAUAUCCUCAAAGAACGUAGCUGUUCCUGUCUCAAAAAUAGUCUUAGCAGUGGGAUCGUAAAAUUUAUACCCUCUUGAACGCUCCGAAUAACCAAUAAAGUAGCUGCUAAUGGUUCUUGAGUCCAGUUUCUUUUCAUAUGGCUUAUAAGGCCUUGCCUCAGCUGGACAUCCCCAUAUCCGAAGGUGCUUAAGACUAGGCUUGCGCCCAGUCCAAAGCUCAUAAGGGGUCUUAGCAGUUGCUUUAGUUGGCACCCUAUUAAGAAUGUAUGCUGCAGUCUUUAGUGCCUCUCCCCAAAGUGAUUCAGGUAAGGAGGAAUGACUAAUCAUACUCCUCACCAUGUCCUUAAGAGUGCGAUUCCUUCUCUCAGACACACCAUUCAUGCUAGGAGAACCUGGCAUGGUGUAUUGAGGCACUAUACCACACUCCUCUAGGUAUCUGGCAAACGGUCCUGGACGUUGUUCACCUGAACCAUCAUACCGACCGUAGUAUUCGCCACCACGAUCAGAUCUGACAGACUUUAUCCUUCGGUCAAGUUGGUUCUCAACCUCAGCUUUGAACCUUUUGAACACGUCCAAAGAUUCCGAUUUCUCAUGAAUAAGAAACAAAUAUGCAUAUCGAGAAUAAUCGUCAAUGAAUGAUAUAAAAUAUUGUUGACCAUUCCAAGAAGCCGUAGGGAAAGGUCCACAAAUAUCCGUAUGUAUCAACUCAAGGACUUCCGUAGCUCUAUAUGCACCCAAUUUCUUAUGCUUGGUCUGUUUUCCUUUAAUGCAAUCCACACACAUAUCACAAUCCGUGAACUUUAUGGAACUCAAUAUACCAUCUGACACAAGACGCUCAACUCUAUUUCUAGAGAUGUGACCUAGGCGUUGGUGCCAAAGAGUUCCUGAAUUUGCAUCUUCAAACUUUCGUUUAGUACCUCUUGAUUCAACACUUAAACUUUCAUCUUUAGAGUUUAUAGUGUCAAGCAUAUAAAGACUGUGAUUUUCCAAAAGUUUACCGGUUCCAACAAGUUUUGAAUUUAAAGACAAAGUAGCGGUUCCGUUCUCAGUUAGACAAGAAUAACCUGAUCUGUCUAACCAAGGACCUGAAACCAAAUUACGUCUAAAAGACGGUACAACAAAAGUGUCUUUCAAAUCCAGAAAAUGACCAGAAACAAAAAACAAUCUAAAAUGCGCAAUUGCCUCCACAUGCAUCGGACUCCCAUUAGCCACAUGAAUGCGUCUUUCAGCAUCAUUUGGGGUUCGAUAGCUCAGGCAACCCUGAAGUGAAACACUAAUGUUAGUAGUAGCACCAGAAUCUAACCACCAAGUGUUCCUAGGUACUUCAAUUAAGUUCAUUUCUGAGCAAACCAAAGCAAGGAACAUACCUUUCUUAGCACGCCAAGCGUGAUAUUUAGGGCAAUCCUUCUUUAUGUGUCCACCCUUCCUGCAAAAGAAACAUGUAUCUUCAACCUUAGCAUGUUUCUUUUGGGUAGGACCCUUAGCAGCAUUAUCCUUAGUGGGCUCAAAUUUCUUUCUUUUGCCCUGUCCCUUAGAGGUGUAAACCAUAUGAGAACUUUCGGUCCUCUCUUGUUUCAUCCUCUCUUCCUCUUGCACACAAUAUGCAAUGAGCUCGUUAAGAGACCAUUGCUCCUUCUGUGUGUUAUAACUUGAUUUCAGCUGACUGAACUGAGGAGGAAGAGAGUUCAAGACAAAGUAUAUGAGCAAUUCAGCCGGAAGCUCAGUCUUAAGUGUCUUGAGUUUCGAAACAAUGUUGGACAUUUCCAAAAUGUACUCCCUUAUUUUUCCAUUGCCAUGGUACCUCAUCGUACUAAAGCGAUGCAAAAGCAUGCUAAUUUCCGCCUUAUCGCUUCUUGCGAAACGGGAAUCCAUCUCGGCAAGGAACUGUUUGAGAUCAUUGAUCUCCUCACCACCUCUGAAGGCUUCUGGAAUGGUGUCCUUAAUGAUCAUCAAACCAAUGCGGUUAGAACGCUCCCACUUCUCAUGAACAGCCUUAUAUUCCGAAGUGCUGUCAUCCGUAGGAGAAGAAGGUUUGUCCAUCCUGAGCGCAAGGUCAAGAUCCAUACACCCAAGAACAAUCUUCACUUUACUUUUCCAUUCCGAAAAAUUGGAACCCGUAAGAAUUGGAAUGGAUCCUAAGUUGGCAGAUAAAGUAGCUGAAAAGAGAGAACAAAACCGAGUUAACUCAAUAUCCGAAGAAAUCAAUGAUAAAUUUUAACUGAUUAUACUUCCCAUCCAAGAUACCAAAUGUAACAUCAAUAUCAAGUCUUUGGACAGUAAUAUUGACUACUAGCAGUACUCUUGUAAUAACAAUCAAAUAUUGACAAUAAUCCACGAUAAACAAUAAACCUUCCUUUGGGCCGAUUUAUUAUUUACAUGUUGAAACCAUAUAAUUGUCAUGUAUUCAUCAUCAUAAUUGUAUGUACAAUUCGGCCAAAAAUUAAGUCUUCCUUUGGGCCGACUCAACAUCCGCAUGAAUAUUGCACACACGUAUAUAUAUAAAUUUCGGCCAAACACAACCUUCCUUUGGGCCGAUUAAAUAUUCGCCAUGAACUUACAUACAUACUUCCUUUAAUAAUUCUCAUGAAAAAUCUUCUCAAGAGAGGUCUUCCUUUGGGCCGACAUCUUGAUUAAAUUAACCAAUCAAAUUAUUAAAUAUGUAUAAUCAAAUUUAUUAAUUGAUUUAAAGCUGAAUUUUAUUCUUGCACAUACAUAUAAGUGAACGUAUGUAGGUUCUUUAUGCAAGAAUACUUAAGCGGGAGAGUGGUUGGAGGCAGCAAGGGAGGUGCCAGCUUUAGUCACGCGACCUGGGUUCGAAUCCCACACUCUGCGUUUUUUAACUUAAUUAAAGCUGGAUGGGCCUAACUUAAUGUUUGUACCAAACUGGCCCAACUGAUUUAAAACAUAAGAAAAUGGGCCAAAAUAAUUAAAUUCGCAGGCCCAGAAUAAUUAAUUAAAUCAGAAAUUUUAUUUGGGCCAAACAACUAACAAGCCCAUCACGAAUCUGCCUCCCACCUUGGGUAUUGUCAAACAAUUUUUUCAACUUUAAUACCUAAAAAACAGAUCUAACCAAAUCUGGAAAAAAUUGUUCCACAAAAAAAAAAAAUGAAAAUUUUCAACAAAAUUUCAGAAAGUAUAAACCUUAUGAACAAUAUUUUCCAUCAAUAAAACCUUAAACCUUAUUUAGAUAUAAAUCUUAAACAUAGAUAACAACCAAAGAUCUAUAUCUAACAUGCAUGGUCCCAAAAUUCAACAUAAACUUUAGAAAAAAACAGAUUGAACAAUCCAAUAUUUUCACAUAAUAAUUAAAUUCGAAUUUAAAAUACAAACUUUAGAUUAAAUUCGAAAUUAUUUUAGAUCCAAAUAGAAAAUCAAUAUGGUGGCUCUGAUACCAAUUGUUAAUUUUAUUUCUUUAUGAUUCAUCAAUUUGAAUCUCAUAACCAUAUAAUUCUCUAUUUGAAUAGACAAAGGGGAAAACAUACCUUGUGAAUCCAUGACUCAAUGAUCUAUGGCAAGAGAAUGGAUCUUCCAAUACAAACCCCUUGUUGACCUUAGCUCUCCAUUGAUGGGAUAUGGAGUUUUUCACUUAAUGUCAAGUUAGGUUGCAUUGGGGACCAUAACCCAUGAUGUAGAAGUAAUUUCUUGUUCAACCCUUCACUAAACUAGAAAUCACAUAAGGCAUCCACAUAUAAUAUUUCAUAACAUUUUAUGCCCAAACUUAUUAAUGGUCAUAUCACAUUUAUUCCUUAACAUAUGUGACCCAACCAAAAUGAUCUUAC
rnacentral:lncRNA from 1 species